rnacentral:rRNA from 1 species
UCGACGGCAGCACGGGAGCAAUCCUGGUGGCGAGUGGCGAACGGGUGAUUUGUAUAUCGGAACGUGCCCAGUCGUGGGGGAUAACGCAGCGAAAGCUGUGCUAAUACCGCAUACGAUCUCUGGAUGAAAGCGGGGGACUCGUAAGAGCCUCGCGCGAUUGGAGCGGCCGAUAUCAGAUUAGCUAGUUGGUGGGGUAAAGGCCCACCAAGGCGACGAUCUGUAGCUGGUCUGAGAGGACGACCAGCCACACUGGAACUGAGACACGGUCCAGACUCCUACGGGAGGCAGCAGUGGGGAAUUUUGGACAAUGGGCGCAAGCCUGAUCCAGCAAUGCCGCGUGCAGGAUGAAGGCCUUCGGGUUGUAAACUGCUUUUGUACGGAACGAAAAGGUCUGCCUUAAUACGGUGGGCCCAUGACGGUACCGUAAGAAUAAGCACCGGCUAACUACGUGCCAGCAGCCGCGGUAAUACGUAGGGUGCGAGCGUUAAUCGGAAUUACUGGGCGUAAAGCGUGCGCAGGCGGUUAUAUAAGACAGAUGUGAAAUCCCCGGGCUCAACCUGGGACCUGCAUUUGUGACUGUAUAGCUAGAGUACGGUAGAGGGGGAUGGAAUUCCGCGUGUAGCAGUGAAAUGCGUAGAUAUGCGGAGG